GACGAACGCUGGCGGCGUGCUUAACACAUGCAAGUCGAACGGAAAGGCCUCUUUCGGGGGGUACUCGAGUGGCGAACGGGUGAGUAACACGUGAGUAACCUGCCCUUGACUUUGGGAUAACUUCAGGAAACUGGGGCUAAUACCGGAUAGGAGCUCCUGCUGCAUGGUGGGGGUUGGAAAGUUUCGGCGGUUGGGGAUGGACUCGCGGCUUAUCAGCUUGUUGGUGGGGUAGUGGCUUACCAAGGCGUUGACGGGUAGCCGGCCCGAGAGGGUGACCAGGCACAUUGGGACUGGGAGACGGCCCAGACCCCUACGGGUGGGAGAAGGGGGGAAGAUUGCACAAGGGGUGGAAGCCUGAUGCAGCAGCGCCGUGGGCGGGAUGACGGGCUUCGGGUUGGAAACCGCUUUCGCUCAUGCCGAAGCUUUGUGUGACGGUAGUGGGUGAAGAAGCACCGGCUAACUACGUG
rnacentral:rRNA from 1 species